rnacentral:rRNA from 1 species
UACGGAGGGGGCUAGCGUUGUUCGGAAUUACUGGGCGUAAAGAGUGUGUAGGCGGUGCUCUAAGUCUGUUGUGAAAUCUCCCGGCUUAACUGGGAGGGUGCGGCGGAGACUGGAGUGCUAGAGUGUGGGAGAGGUAAGCGGAAUUCCUGGUGUAGCGGUGAAAUGCGUAGAUAUCAGGAGGAACACCUGUGGUGUAGACAGCUUACUGGACCACGACUGACGCUGAGACACGAAAGCGUGGGUAGCAAACAGG